GCGGCGCCGCGCGCUGAUUGGCUGAAACGCCUCCGCCCGCGAAGAUGGGGCACAAAAGUCCUCAAGAAAACACUCGGAGGAGGCCAGGUCAUGAAAUCCACAUCUCUACCCCUUCAUUUCUGCACUGCCUCUGCUGCAUGUGUCCCAUCUUGUCUCUUUUCUGUUGGGAGCAGCUCUUUGCACUUGGCUGGGUCCUUGAAGAGGAUGUUUGCUGCAGCACAAGAGAAAUAUUUACUGUGGAGUAAACUGGGAAUCAUGGAAAAGAAAGUGAGACGGAAGACAUUCCUUUUGAAAUUGGGAAGUGAAUUAAAGGUCCUUGUCAAGAUGACACUUCCUUGCAUACCUUUUUAGCCUUUCCAGUCAGCAGAGGAGCUGGCAAACAGGUCUGCCAUCCAGCUAUGUUUUCAGGUAGCACGGAAAAGGUAUCAUUAGGCUCUUUAACAGAAAAGAGGGAGGUAUUUAUAAUACUUGGUAGAAUAUUGAUGUAUUUAAAUGUGCUGAUAAAUGGGAUGUUAAAUAGAAAGCAUGGUGAAAUUUUGCCCUCCUGGAGACUGCACCAGGUAAUAUGUUGAGGAGAAACUUAACCAGAAGCAGUUUUGAGAGAGCUACUAAAAUACAGCUGAAUGAAGAUGUUUGGCUGACCAGCAGAAUCUGUAUUCACAUGGCAAAGGGUUCAUUACUCAUCCUGCAAUGCUUUCUGAAGUGUAUUUUUGUAUCAUCAUUUCCCAUUUUAAAUGCAGCUCUGAAAUCCCAAAAGGGAAUUAACUACCAGACAUUUGCAUUUUAAAGGGAAAACUCAAACCUCAGUAGAGUGCUUUACUUAAGACUCCUUUUAUAUAACUUAGCCAAUCAGCUCUGUCUCAGUGGAGACCUUGGGGAGUCAACCCUAAGACAAGGUAGGAAAAUCCAGACUUGGAAAAAGCCUUGUAAUCUGCUUCAUGAAAUGCAGAAUAUGCUGGUAUUGGGGGGAAGGUCUCCUGUGAACUGGUGUCUUCAUUAUUGUGUCACUUUGGGGGGAUAAAAAGGGACCUUCAAGCUUUGGCAAACUGGGAUGGCAGAACACAGGAUACUCGCUCUUGUGUGGGAGAGGAAAACUAUAGUAAAAAACCAAAGUUGUAAAUGAAAAAGAGCAGCUUUUAAUUCAUCCCUUUGCAAGACAUGGGGAAAGACAAUUGGGAAGUUACUGGAGGAGUGACAGCGGGUUUUGUUAAAACUAAGACCUCUUGGGGGCUGACUUGUCCUCUGAGUAAAUGUGAUUCAGGGGAGGGACAGAGGAGGUUGUUCUCCCCCUCAGGCCAUGGGGUCGAAGCUGUAUGUGGUCCACUCCUUCCCUUGGAGACACUGGGAUUCAUUUCUACCCAGAUGACCCAGUUCCUUUCAGCUGUGCCUUGCUGGAUGCCUUUAUUCAACUGAAACAGACUUCAGGUACAUGAUUUCUUAUUGCCAAGAGAACCUGUAUUCUAACUUCUUGCUGCCUUAGAAGCUUGAAAGCUCUCUGAAAGUCCUGCUACUUUUACUUAUGGCCCUCCAAAAAAACUCUGUUGCAAAGGUUAUAAUAAACCCAGUGCAGAAUUUGAAGCCACUCUCCUGAAUAAAUUUAUACAUGAAUAGUACUAGAGAGCACUGUCUGUAUUUGGGGCAUUUAAAGUUGUAGAGCAAGGUCUAAAAAUAUGAAUUCCUGUGCUUGGGAAUGCCAAAAUCCCACUGAUUUUUCCCUGUAUAUAUCAAAGAUGAGACUGCUCAUCGACACAAGCUCCUUCCCAAGGUGUGACCUGGUGACAGGCACUGGAGGGCAAAGCUGCAGGUCCCUGAGGCACCAACUGCCUUGCUCCAGGGUGUGUGUGCUGAGAAACUAAAGUAAAUAUUCCUGUGUUGACAUAAAAAGAAUGACUGGGUGGUUGGGAGCCACCUUCUAACGAUGAUUUUAACAGGAAAUGUGAAGUAGAAUGAUGCAAACGGAUACAGAGGAGUAAGGAGGGGAUUUUUGGUGUGGUUACUUUGCUUUUCAGUGCACCAGCACUUAAGGCUACUGUGCCACUGAUGGGAAAGAACAGUUCCCAGUAAUAAUGCUGUAUGAGACAUGAGAUGUCUCCUAGACACUGUAAAACUCCUUGUUGUCUAUUCCUGUGUUGGAAGUUACUUCCUAACACACCCUAUUGCUUGCAGGCUGAGUAACAGCACAAACAAGUGAUGGGGGGAAGAAAAGGUGACUUUGGUGUGCCAUCAAGGAGCUUGUUAGCGCAGGUUAUUCCAUGCUGCCUGAUGCAGCAGGCACUGAAUCAGACCUGAUUGGGAGGGAGGGGUAGAGGUUUUUGUUGUUGAAUUGCACUUAUCUUCAAAGCUGCUGGAAAUGAUUCUGCGUUUAUUCAGCAGCAUGAGUCCUGAGGUUUUGAGAUUCAACGUUGUUCAUUGCUGUUUGUUAGGCUGAUUUGGCUUUUAAUCCACCAGUGAAUACUGAAUGAAGAAUUCGGUUGUGAAUCAGAUCUCUUGCUUGCCAGUUACACAAGGCAUUUUUAUUUUCAAUUUCAGGUUCUUCUACAGUACAGGACAAAAAUUAGGAAUAGAAAGAAGCUUAAACUGUUCCUCUCCAGCGACUCUCCUGCAUCACUGCUUAAUCCUUCCAUUAUGUGUGAUAUCAUUAAUCAUUCCCCUGUAAUAUUUGACACACAUUUGUGGGACAAAUUUAGUUCUAAUCUAAAAGCUGCAAUAAUAGUGACUUAUGUGGAACGGCAGCUAAUUAGAACAUAGUUGAAUUUUCAUCUUUCCUGAAAGACUUGUAUAAAAUGAACAACCUUUCACACUGUUGAAAUGAGACUGUCGGAGUGAGACGGGCAAGCAGAUGAGGGAAGAGGAAAGGAAGGUUAUCCAAGGACAACAGGAGAAAUCUGUGUCAUAAUAAGCCAAUAUCUGUGCAAAACAUGCUCAGUUGUUGGUGGAUUCUUUUUAAUUGUUGUUUUUUUUCUUUAAGUUCUCUUAUGGCUCAUGGUUUGGUUGCCUUGAUAUCCAAAUGACUGAUCCUGCCAUCUACAGAGACUAAAUGACGCUCUUGCCAUCACAGUGGACUAGAAGAGAUGAAGAUGGCAGGAUCCUUCAGCCCCUUGUGGGAAGAUGCUACAAUGUAAGAAGCUUCUUCAGUGGUUUCCUUCAUCUCAGUGCUGCUGGACUUCCCACACCUUCUCUGCAGCGUGUUGCCCUACAGAUGGAAGACUGAGCUGCAAACCAGCAGAAACCCUAGACUUCGACCAGGGAAUCUUGCAGCCAAAUACAGAUAUCCAAUUCCAGAACAGGUUUGGCAACCUUCUGAUGUUUAUGGGGUUUGGAGUAUUAUUUCCCACAGGCACUUCCGUAGCCGGAUGCUAGAUCAAGGUGUAAGUUGGCCAGUAAGUUUUGCAUUGCUUUAUGCCCCUCAUACAGCCUUGCUGGUGGAGAGAGACCUCGUCCUCAAGCAGUGUGGCUUGUGAUGAGCUGUGGUAGUUAACUGUACAUCAUUCAUCCAAGUUUAGUAUUCCUUAUACUGCUGAAUUGUGCUGGAAAGAGUUCUCUUCACAGAAGCCCACAACAUGCUGUGGCCUUUUGUGUCUGCACUCUACCUCCUAAACCCAAGCUGACUCAGCUCUUCCUCUGCAACCUCUGCCUUGUCCACAGCUGGCACGUAGAGCUAGUAGGAAUGAUACUAUCUGCCAUUUAAAACUUGAAUCAAGCUUGUCAAUUAAAAGAGCUACACCACAUUAGCACUCCCAGGCUAGAUCAAUUUUGUGCUUUAAUUUGUGGAGUUGGUGAGACUAUUCAAAGAUUUGCUCACGUCUCUGAACUCAUUCUGCAGGUACUGGCAGGAUUUCAGCACUAAAGUUGCUGCUCCCAGGGGCUUUAAUGGUACCAGACACAUUCCGUGGCAACUCCUGUUUGCCCUUUUUAUCAGGAGUUUAACAUUGCCCUUUGAGGGCAUGUUUUUGCAGUCAUAAAUACGCUCUUUGCUUUUACACAGUUGUGCUCUUGCAAGUAAUAAUGGGCAGAGAUGUUCACUUAACUCUUUUUACAGAAUAAACAGUAGCAGCCAAAGGUGAGUAUGAGAUUCUCUGUGCUUUGUUAGCACAGGUGUACUGGGAAAAGGGCCCUGAAAGCUCUGGAACCAAGCACAUAAAAUGGGAUUCUUGGAAGUAAAUGUAAGAUGCCACAUACUUAAGAGGGUUAACAAGAGGAAAGGUGUUCUAGGGAAUGCUGCAGCAUUGCAGCAUUCAUUCCAACUGGUACUGUUGUCACAGGCAACAGAUAACUACCAGCUCUUACCUGCAAUAUAUCUCCAUGCUGAAUUAACCAUGACCACUGUGAGUGUCAGCAUACCUGCAGCAGUGUAACCUGCUGUUCCUGUGUUGACUAGUGCUCAUCUGAAAGCCACCGCCUCCAAAGCCUUUCCAUGCUGGAAGUGUGGGAUUUUCUCACCUGCUUGUAUCACAUUUGCAUUUUGCUGGAGACUCUAUCCCAAUUUCCCUUCCUCCCUGCUACCCAGCAGUCAUGAAUUAAGUUGCAUAUGAGCAUUAAGGAAAGAACAAGAUCCUGUGGCUUAGAACCUCCUUUUUUGGGGAUAACUGUUCUGUGUAUGAAGGGGAAUCUGCUAGUCUUCAAAUCUUGAUUUAUUGCUGGUUUCUUACACAGUGAGCUGAGCACUGGUGGUCAGGAACAUGCUGUGUUGCAGCCUCGUGGCAGGACUUACAUGCUGGAGUGUCUGCAGUGUAGUACUAGGAGCAGAUUGUGUUACUGAAGGUGAGGUUGUGCUUAUCUGUGAGGCUUCCCCAAAAGCUGCCAGAUGGAAGUAGCUUUUCAGAAGAAUGAGGAUAACGCUGCUGUAAUCAAGCUGUCUCAUUAAAAAUACUCCAAAGUGAAUCAGGUACCUGUUUGGUAUGUCAUGCCUGCACUGGGGAAUGCCACUUACUUUGAUGUUAACAGCCAGUGUCCUAUCAUAAAGCAGUAUAUCCGUGUGGCUGUGGAAAUUCAGGUUGUCAUGAGGGCCCUCAUCCUUUCCAAGCCUCUGUACUCAAGACAUUUGUGACUUGAGCUGCGGGUUAUUACUGAGCACCUCUUGCAAUCAUGACCUUGGUUUCUGCUGUGCCCCAAAAAUCAAGUCUUCACAUAACCCAAAUUAAAAAGCAGCUCUUUUUGCCAUCCUCAAUAACACAGGGGUUGUGAACAUUAAUACCAAGCACUAUGUAAAUAUUAAAUAUCAAAAGUAUAUUAAUUUAUAUAGCACUAUAAAUGCUAUAUAAAUUCAACCUUGAAUGAAAGCCCUUAUCCAAAGAUUUCUAAAGAGCUUGUGCAUCUUGGCCUGGGGAGAAAGGAAAAUAUAUCCUUUUUUAAGAAAAGUGAAAAGCUCAACUCAAUGUCCUGCUAUUUACUGUGUGUAUUUAUAUUGCACAAUCAAGGAGUUGCAUUAAAAUGUAUCAGUUGCCAAAACUCCAUUUUCCAGCUAAAUUUGACCAAGCUGAAAAGGGAAUUAUAUAUGCCAGAGGACUGCAGUAAAAGAGAUUUAAGGGUUUUGAAAUACUGUAAAACAAGACUAUAAUAAGUGAGUAGUGGUCCAGUCAGCUGUUUUAAUUAAAACUGGGCUGCUUAUUGAUCUAUCAGAGAGAUUUACCCCCACCUGCAACACUUCAGCAAUAUUCCCUUCAACCAUUUAAGAAAAUAGUGUUUCUAAGGGACAUAUAAAGAAUAUAGAAGUGGAGAAUGGAAGUGUUUAACUAUGAGUUCGAUCUUUUUUCCAUCCCAUGUAAGCACCUUAUGUAUUUUCAUACAAAAAUGAAAGCGAGUAUGUAGAAUGUACAGGAUACUGCUUUUCUGAUGUAAUUCUAAUGGGUUUGCUGAUUGCUUUAAAGAGGUCUAAAAUACACUGCUUUCUCUCAUAUUUAUAAAGGUGUCAUGUCUAAAAAUGUUCUUGCCACUGAAACCAGUAGGAUCUUCUGUGGUUACAUCUUCAAGGUGGGAGUUUGCCAUGCCUCACGUGAUUGAAGGAAGUUCUCUGUGUGAAAGCCAAAGAAAAUGCUAAGAAGGCACUAAUAAGUGUUUGUCAUGAGUAUGGAAGGCUACUGUAUCAGCAGCUUGGUAGCUCUUUGUUCUAAAGGGCUUGAUUAUUUAAUUUCUUUCUAUAAAAGUAAUGUGGUGAAAUUGAAACAGUGUGAAAUUAAAACGGUAUCGAUGCAGAUUUGGCACCAUUGGUUUUGAAGUCUGAAAUAGGUCCUUAAAUAGCGCGAUCGGCUGUGGCAGAACAUGUGCAUGGGAAGAAGUCAGAGGCACGGCUGUUGAACCAACUGGUGCACAGACUGGAGAAGGUGGUGAUGAAGAUUGCGAUGAUGAUGGUGAUGAUGAUGGUUAUGAUGCUGUAUUGUAGAGAUGUGUCUAUUAACACAUAGGAAGAGCUUUGCCGUGUUCACACAGGUUUGUGGUGUGUGUAGUGCCCAGUGAGCAUCUGCCCUCUGUGUUGGUGACAGGAUGAAGCAACUGGUGAUUGUUAUACACCAGCUGUGGUUUAAGGAGAAAAAGAAAUAAAAACCUACCAAGCACAA